GAUUUAAAAGAGAUAAAGUCGCAGAUGAUCUCUCACUCUUGACUUGAAGAAGUCCGCACGUCAGACUGACUGUUGAAGCCAAGUAGUCCUCUGGUUGAGUCCCUCAGACGCAGUUGCGCACCGUGCGCGCCCACGGUCUAUGCGCGUGCCGUGCGAACCACCGAUCCUGCACUUCCUGGGCCAGACUGAUUUUGAUCGCUUAACUAAUCGUCAGGGGUCAUGAGGCCUAAGUCAGCUUCAGUCAUGGCUGUUCUUUCUGUGAAGAGAACCACGGGGCGCUCUUUUUGGAUUUCGGUGUUUCUCCUGCUUAUCUUCACUCAGAUGUUAACCUCCCUGGUGCUCUAUUCUGGUGUGUUCAUUCUCUCCAACGAAGCCCUCAUCAGCCCCUUUAGCUUUUGUCUAAAACAUGGUCAACAUGGUGAACCCUCCUGCAACAGGUGGUACAGGAGCCCUGUCAACGGAGCUGAAUCCAAGAUAAAAAUUUACUUCCUCACAACAGUGGUUACUCUGGGUUUGUACAUUCCAGUGGUGCUUGUGGCCUUUGCCCUGCUGGCCAUGCUGUUAGCAGCUUACGCCAAAGACAGAGCAGCCCUCUGGUUUAGCAUGGCCUGCCAGACUGCAUCAAGCCUACUCAUCCUGACUGGCAUUGUUAGUUUUUUGCUACUCAAUCAGUCGUAUGCGAGCUGGCAACACAUGACCCUCUGGUUCUAUAUCUGUGUGGCUGUGCAGGUUGAGCUGGUUAUCGUAACUGCACUGACCCAUGUUACGGGAAGGAGGCUAACCUCUGACUGGAAAUAGAUGGGUCCAAAUAAAAACACAUCCUCGCCUUUUUAACGGAAGGGACGUUUGAUUGGUGAGCUUCAGGACAGUGGUUGAUUAAAGUUUAUAAUCAAAUUUCAAAUGUAUUUUUUUGUUACAUGUUCUUUAUGUUUUCACUAAACAGUGGUCAAAUCUUUGGUUUGAGGCAAAUGCUGACGAGGCCUAAUGACAGAUUUUCUGAUAAACUGUACCCAUUAUUUGUUAAAUCAACUGGAACAUACUGUGAUUGCUUUUGCAUGACGUAACAGUGUUUUUGAAUUGUAGACCAACUGGUUUGAGAAGCUGACAUCAGUGUGUAAAUAAAAAAACAGGAAUAGCUGGUGUAUAGGUGCUAAAGACAAUGACACUGUGUAAAAAGGUGGUAGACCAAUAGCGUUAAUGCUGACACUUGCUUUUUUGAUACUGCUUGUUCAAGAAAAACAGCUACUUCCUCAUUUAUUAAAGUGGGGGGAAAAUACAAUAUCUAUAGUGGACAUACAUUCAGAAUUAAACAUAAGAGUAUGCUCUGUCAUCUUAAAUCUGUGGUGUCAUCAAGAGAAAACCUGGAGCAGCUUCGCUGACUGAUUCCUCUAAGGACAUUAUGAUUAAAGAGGCCACAGGUACAGUUACACUAUAGUGCUCAGUAAAUCAGAAGAAACUCUGUGUCGAAUGUUCAGUCCUCUGCUCGUGGAAACGUGGGCUUUCCUACACAUGGGCUUGAAUUUAAGGUCUUCUGUACAGUAGGGUUGGUGGCUAGUCUACAGGGCAUUUCAAGUGUGGUGAUGUACUGUAACAUGAGCAUCAGUUUCAGAUUUCAGCUCUGUUACUUACAUCAAAAGGGUUUUGGAUAAACUUUCAGGAAAAUUCCAUCUAAACUUUACAAAAUACCAUGUUAUCUGUGUUUUGGGGAAUUCCCAUUAAUUUGUGGUAAUUCAGUGUAACAGGACAGUGGAAAGUAAAAGAUGCAGCAGCUCCAUUAACAUUGAAUGGACCUCAGACGGAAACUGCACUGUAAGAUUGGGUUUUAGAUCAUAGAUCAGCGGUCAUUAAAGGCAUAUACUGGCAUUUA